rnacentral:rRNA from 1 species
AUUGAACGCUGGCGGCAGGCUUAACACAUGCAAGUCGAGCGGGGAAAAGUAGCUUACUACUGGACCUAGCGGCGGACGGGUGAGUAAUGCUUAGGAAUCUGCCUAUUAGUGGGGGACAACAUCUCGAAAGGGAUGCUAAUACCGCAUACGUCCUACGGGAGAAAGCAGGGGACCUUCGGGCCUUGCGCUAAUAGAUGAGCCUAAGUCGGAUUAGCUAGUUGGUGGGGUAAAGGCCUACCAAGGCGACGAUCUGUAGCGGGUCUGAGAGGAUGAUCCGCCACAAUGGGACUGGGACACGGCCCAGACUCCUACGGGAGGCAGCAGUGGGGAAUAUUGGACGAUGGGCGGAAGCCUGAUCCAGCCAUGCCGCGUGUGUGAAGAAGGCCUUUUGGGUGUAAAGCACUUUAAGCGAGGAGGAGGCUACCUGGAUUAAUACUCUAGGAUAGUGGACGUUACUCGCAGAAUAAGCACCGGCUAACUCUGUGCCAGCAGCCGCGGUAACAC